GAUUAGGGGGAUGUUUUCCCGGAAACUGGGAAAGGGAAUAACACUCGAAAUGUAAAUAAGAAAUAAUCAAGUUAAUAAAAAAAAAAAGAAAAGAAAAGCCUAGAGCAUCAGUUCUCAAGCCAGGGGUCACAUGACUCUUUCACAGUGGGUGCAUAUCAGAUAUCCUGCAUAUCUUACAUUUACAUUAUGAUUGAUAACACUAGCAAAGUUACAAAGAAGAAACGAAAGUAGUUUUAGGGUUGGGGGUCACACAACAUGAGGAACUGUAUUAAAGGGUUACAUCAUCAGGAAGGUUGAGAACCACUGGUCUAGAGAAUGCUAGGGAUUUACAUCUGUUGGUUGGUAGAGUGCCCACAUAGCAUGCACAAGGCCAUCAAAUCAAUCCCUAGCACCGUGUAAACCAGGCUUGGUGGUGAACAUCUAUAAUCCCAGCACUCAAGAGGAGCAGAAGACCAAAGCCAUGCUCAUUCACCUUCAUUGUAAGUUUGAGAUUAACCUAGGCCACCAGACACCCUGCCUUUAAAAAGAAAGAAAGGCCAGGGACAGCUCAGGGAGGUAGUUCAGUUAAGUUUGAACAUGGCCGCCCUUCUAGAAAGCCUGAGUUUGAUUUCCAGCACCUAGCCAUGUGUAACUCCAAUUUCAGGAGGACCUAAUGCCCUCUUCUGACUUCUGUGGACACCAGGCACACUAGUGGAUCACAGAUAUAACGGGCUCCCAGAUCCUAGUAGCACAGCUUAUACGAUGGUGGAAGUACUGUUCGGCCUUGGAGCCUAGCGGGGAGCAGCGACACUUGCCAGAAGGAGACCAGACCUCAUCCACUGAAGGCCAUCAGUUCCAGGAGAGACCCUGACUGUACUGACCAUGCUUUGGCUUCUUUAGUUACUCUGCAACUGUUCCUGCUAGCUGAAGUGUGUCAACCCAGGAUAUGUUUUUGUUUGUUUGUUUUUUGCUUAAAAGCUCACCAUGGGUUAAAAAACCUAGUAUGAGGGCUGGAGAGAUGGCUCAGUGGUUAAGAGCACUGACUGCUCUUCCCGAGGUCCUGAGUUCAAUUCCCAGCAACCAUGUGGUGGUUCACUAGUAUGGUGGCCAGCCAAUUAAUAAAGACUUUCUAUUGGCUUGAACCCGUGUCCAAGUAGUCUUCUCUGGAAGGUACCUCACAACACAGACAUUCAUGUUAAGUAAAUCACUAAAAUAUUCAAAUUUUUAAAGACUUUUUUUUAUUUAUGAUUACACUGUAGCUGUCUUCAGACACACCAGAAGAGGGCAUCAGAUCCCAUUACAGAUGGUUGUGAGCCGCCAUAUGGAUGCUGGGAACUGAACUCAGGACCUCUGGAAGAGCAGCUGAGCCAUCUUGCCAGCCCUCAAUUGUUUUUUAAUGUUUCAGAAGUUCAAGGAAAUGGGUUUACUGGAGAGAAUGUACUUUUUUUUUUUUUUUUUUUUUUUUUUUUUGGUAAAUUACUGUUUACCCUUGGCUGGCCUGGAACCAGGGUGGGCUAAAACUUAGAUCCAUCAACCUAAAGACAGGCCCCACCAUGCCAGCAAAGCUAUGCAUUUUCUUGCCUUAAAAAGCAAUUCCAGAACUUAUAAGACUGAUGAUGCAGUCAGGUCUAAAUGAGCAUAAGCUACAUAGCACAACUUUAGAAGGACCGGGAAAAAGGGUGGGAACAGGAACUGUGAAAAGACGGGAGCCACUGUGCCAAGAAAUAAGCCCACGAUGUGGUGCAACAAGUAAAGUAAGCACCACCUGGAAAGACUGCAAAGCCAGGUGGAAGGGCAGCACCCCAGGGACUCCAGAUGCAGGAGACACAGGAUCCUAGUCCUGGGCUCUGCCUGAAGCCUUGGGGCAUGUGGGCCACUGCUUUAGGCAUUACGUGUGCUAGGACCAGAUAGUGCUUUGCCCCAUGUCCCACUUCUGAGCUGGACAGGCCUGGUCUCCUUUGACUAUGGUUCCGCCCCCCACGGGGAAGACUCAUACACUGCGUAUUCCUCUUCAGGUGGGCCUGCAAGCCUCAUCGUGGCACAUCGAUGCUGAGAUGGAUGGAUCUCCUACACAGGCCUUAAACCAAGGAGCUCUGAGAUAAAAAGGGCUCACUAAACCAUACAGAUUCUAGGCAAAGGUGAAGGGCCAGCCAUGACCCAAAUUGCCACAGCCACCAGAGGUACAGGCAGACAACGCACAGGAAAAAAUCUACUAGGCAGAAAGGGUCAUGGUGUUUCCUAACAUAUGAAUGAAAAAAAACAACGAAUGUUCAUUUUCUAUCAAACUGACUGUACAUAAGACAAGCAGGACAAUGGCCAAGGGGCUGUCCUGGAAUAGUUUAAUUCCUAAAGAAACAAUUGUCGACCAUCCCACUGUUCUCUGCACCCCAAUCCCGUUGGGAAAAGAGCUGAACACCCAGGAGUGCAGACAUCCUGAGACCACAGGACAGACUGCCACUUCUACACACCUCUGUCCACAUCCAAGGGGAAACUGCACAGUGCCUCUGGAUACAGAAAUAUUGGAACAGUCAGCCGCCAGUACCCACGGUUCUGGUCUAUGCCCAGAACCGAACUAAACUGGUCAAACAGCUCCCUGCACCCAAAUCCCGUGGGGGAGAGAGCUGAACCCUCAAAAAUGUAGAUACUCCUGAGAAGUCAGAGGAGAAUACCCUCUGCCCACAGGCCAGACCCAAGAGGGAAUUGCAUAGUGCCAACUGUGCCCGAUGGGUGCAAGGACCUAGGGGCAAUCAGGGGUAGGACCCUUUGAUUCCUGCCCAUGCCUAGAACUGAAAGACAGUCUCCAGGAGCACGUACACACUUGAGAGCAGAGCACCUGUUCUCACAAAAGGCUGAAAGAAACCAGGAAAACAGUUCUACAGGAAUGCUGACACAGAGGGCUACAGCAGAGUCAAGUCACUCUCAGAAACAGCAGGACAAGCAAACACCAGAGACAAGCCAAUGGCUAGAGGCAAGCACAGGAACCUAAGCAACAGACACCAAGACUACAUGGCAUCAUCAGAGCCCAGUUCUCCCACCAAAGAAAAUACUGGAUAUCCAAACACACCAGAAAAGCAAGAUUUAGAUUUAAAAUCACAUUUUUUGAUAAUGAUGGAGGACUUUAAGAAGGACAUAAAGAACUCCAUAGAGAAAUGCAGGAAAACACAAGUAAACAAGUAGAAGCCCUUAGAGAGGAAACAACAACAACAAAAAAAUCCCCUGAAGGAAUUACAGGAGAACACAACAAAACCAGGUGAAGGAAUUGAACAAAACCAUUCAGGAUUUAGAAAUGGAAAAAGAAACAAUAAAGAAAGCACAAAGCGGGUUGGGGAUUUAGCUCAGUGGUAGAGCGCUUGCCUAGCAAACGCAAGGUCCUGGGUUCGGUCCCCAGCUCCGAAAAAAGAAAAAAAAAAAAAAGAAAGAAAGAAAGAAAG